UAGAGAUGUGGAGGUAGAGCACUGAAUGUCCUAGGGGGUAUUGCACUUACCGAAGACUAUCAAACUCCGAAUGCCAUUAUCUUUUAUUCAGGAGUCAGACUAUGGGUGAUAAGGUUCAUAGUCGAAAGGGAAAGAGCCCAGACCGUCAGCUAAGGUCCCUAAAUGUAUGUUAAGUGGUAAAGGAUGUGGGAUUGCACAGACAACCAGGAUGUUGGCUUAGAAGCAGCCACUCAUUUAAAGAGUGCGUAAUAGCUCACUGGUCGAGUGAUCCUGCGCCGAAGAUUUCCGGGGCUAAAACAUACUACCGAAGCUACGGCAUCAUAAGAUGAUGGGUAGGGGAGCUUCCCAUGCAGGCUGAAGCGAUACCGUAAGGAGUCGUGGACAGUAUGGGAGAGAGAAUGUUGGCAUGAGUAGCGAGAUGAGGGUGAGAAUCCCUCAGGCCGUAAACCCAAGGUUUCCAGGGGAAGGUUCGUCCACCCUGGGUUAGUCGGGACCUAAGCUCAGGCCGAAAGGCGUAGGCGAUGGACAACAGGUUGAGAUUCCUGUACUACCGAUAAUCGUUUGAGAGAAGGGAUGACACAGUAGGAUAAGCUGAGCACACUGUUGGUUAAGUGUGUCUAAGCGUUGAGGCAGACUAGAUAGGCAAAUCCGUUUAGUUAAUGCUGGGGCGCGAUGGGGAGCGAAACUAAGUAGCGAAGCAGCUGAUUUCACACUGUCGAGAAAAGUCUCUAUCGAGAUUAAAGGUACCCGUACCGCAAACCGACACAGGUGGGUGAGGAGAGUAUCCUAAGGCCAGCGAGAGAACUGUUGUUAAGGAACUCGGCAAAAUGACCCCGUAACUUAGGGAUAAGGGGUGCCCCAGCAAUGGGGCCGCAGAGAAUUGGCCCAAGCGACUGUUUACCAAAAACAUAGGUUUCUGCUAAGUCGCAAGACGAUGUAUAGGAGCUGACGCCUGCCCGGUGCUGGAAGGUUAAGGGGAUCUGUAAGAGCAAUCGAAGCAGUGAUCUUAAGCCCCAGUAAACGGCGGCCGUAACUAUAACGGUCCUAAGGUAGCGAAAUUCCUUGUCGGGUAAGUUCCGACCCGCACGAAAGGCGUAACGAUUUGGGCACUGUCUCAACAACAGACUCGGUGAAAUUGUAAUCCCGGUGAAGAUGCCGGGUACCUGCGACAGGACGGAAAGACCCCAUGGAGCUUUACUGUAGCUUGACAUUGGGUUUCGAUACUACAUGUACAGGAUAGGUGGGAGACUAAGAAAUCAGGGCGUCAGUUUUGAUGGAGUCACCCUUGGGAUACCACCCUUGUAGUAUUGGGACUCUAACCAUAGGCCAUGAAUCUGGUCUUGGGACACUGUCUGGUGGGCAGUUUGACUGGGGCGGUCGCCUCCCAAAAGGUAACGGAGGCGCUCAAAGGUUCCCUCAGUACGGUCGGAAAUCGUACGAAGAGUGUAAAGGCAAAAGGGAGCUUGAUUGCAAGACAUACAGGUCGAGCAAGGUAGAAAUACGGACUUAGUGAUCCGGUGGUUCUGAGUGGAAGGGCCAUCGCUCAACGGAUAAAAGCUACCCUGGGGAUAACAGGCUUAUCUCCCCCAAGAGUCCACAUCGACGGGGAGGUUUGGCACCUCGAUGUCGGCUCAUCACAUCCUGGGGCUGUAGUUGGUCCCAAGGGUUGGGCUGUUCGCCCAUUAAAGUGGUACGCGAGCUGGGUUCAGAACGUCGUGAGACAGUUCGGUCCCUAUCCGUCGCAGGCGUAGGAAAUUUGAGAAGAUCUGUCCUUAGUACGAGAGGACCGGGAUGGACAUACCUCUGGUGUACCAGUUGUUCUGCCAAGGGCAUGGCUGGGUAGCUAUGUAUGGAAGGGAUAAGCGCUGAAAGCAUCUAAGCGCGAAGCCAACUUCAAGAUAAGAUUUCCCACCGCAAGGUUAAGAUCCCAGGAAGACUACCUGGUUGAUAGGUCAGAGGUGUAAGUGCAGCAAUGUAUGUAGCUUACUGAUACUAAUAGAUCGAGGACUUGACCAA
rnacentral:rRNA from 1 species